rnacentral:rRNA from 1 species
AGUCGAGCGGAUGAAGGAGCUUGCUCCUGGAUUCAGCGGCGGACGGGUGAGUAAUGCCUAGGAAUCUGCCUGGUAGUGGGGGACAACGUUUCGAAAGGAACGCUAAUACCGCAUACGUCCUACGGGAGAAAGCAGGGGACCUUCGGGCCUUGCGCUAUCAGAUGAGCCUAGGUCGGAUUAGCUAGUUGGUGAGGUAAUGGCUCACCAAGGCGACGAUCCGUAACUGGUCUGAGAGGAUGAUCAGUCACACUGGAACUGAGACACGGUCCAGACUCCUACGGGAGGCAGCAGUGGGGAAUAUUGGACAAUGGGCGAAAGCCUGAUCCAGCCAUGCCGCGUGUGUGAAGAAGGUCUUCGGAUUGUAAAGCACUUUAAGUUGGGAGGAAGGGUUGUAGAUUAAUACUCUGCAAUUUUGACGUUACCGACAGAAUAAGCACCGGCUAACUCUGUGCCAGCAGCCGCGGUAAUACAGAGGGUGCAAGCGUUAAUCGGAAUUACUGGGCGUAAAGCGCGCGUAGGUGGUUUGUUAAGUUGGAUGUGAAAUCCCCGGGCUCAACCUG